rnacentral:rRNA from 1 species
CGGAGGAUCCAAGCGUUAUCCGGAUUAUUGGUUUAAAGGGUGCGUAGGCGGCCUGUUAAGUCAGAGGUGAAGACGGUAGCUCAACUAUCGCAGUGCCUUUGAUACUGAUGGGCUUGAAUAACUAGAGGUAGGCGGAAUGAGACAAGUAGCGGUGAAAUGCAUAGAUAUGUCUCAGAACACCGAUUGCGAAGGCAGCUUACUAUGGUUUAUUGACGCUGAGGCACGAAAGCGUGGGAUCAAACAGGAUU